AGCGAACGCUGGCGGCAGGCUUAACACAUGCAAGUCGAGCGGGCGUAGCAAUACGUCAGCGGCAGACGGGUGAGUAACGCGUGGGAACGUACCUUUGGUUCGGAACAACACAGGGAAACUUGUGCUAAUACCGGAUAAGCCCUUACGGGGAAAGAUUUAUCGCCGAAAGAUCGGCCCGCGUCUGAUUAGCUAGUUGGUGUGGUAACGGCGCACCAAGGCGACGAUCAGUAGCUGGCUGAGAGGAUGAUCAGCCACCAUUGGGACUGAGACACGGCCCAAACUACCUACGGGAGGCAGCAGUGGGGAAUAUUGGACAAUGGGCGCAAGCCUGAUCCAGCCAUGCCGCGUGAGUGAUGAAGGCCCUA
rnacentral:rRNA from 1 species